GAUGAACGCUGGCGGCGUGCCUAAUACAUGCAAGUCGAGAGAACAGAUGAGGAGCUUGCUCCUCUGACGUUAGCGGCGGACGGGUGAGUAACACGUGGAUAACCUACCUAUAAGACUGGGAUAACUUCGGGAAACCGGAGCUAAUACCGGAUAAUAUAUUGAACCGCAUGGUUCAAUAGUGAAAGACGGUUUUGCUGUCACUUAUAGAUGGAUCCGCGCCGCAUUAGCUAGUUGGUAAGGUAACGGCUUACCAAGGCAACGAUGCGUAGCCGACCUGAGAGGGUGAUCGGCCACACUGGAACUGAGACACGGUCCAGACUCCUACGGGAGGCAGCAGUAGGGAAUCUUCCGCAAUGGGCGAAAGCUUGACGGAGCAACGCCGCGUGAGUGAUGAAGGUCUUCGGAUCGUAAAACUCUGUUAUUAGGGAAGAACAAAUGUGUAAGUAACUAUGCACGUCUUGACGGUACCUAAUCAGAAAGCCACGGCUAACUACGUG
rnacentral:rRNA from 1 species